GAUGAACGCUGGCGGCGUGCCUAAUACAUGCAAGUCGAGCGAACGGACGAGAAGCUUGCUUCUCUGAUGUUAGCGGCGGACGGGUGAGUAACACGUGGAUAACCUACCUAUAAGACUGGGAUAACUUCGGGAAACCGGAGCUAAUACCAGAUAAUAUUUUGAACCGCAUGGUUCAAAAGUGAAAGACGGUCUUGCUGUCACUUAUAGAUGGAUCCGCGCUGCAUUAGCUAGUUGGUAAGGUAACGGCUUACCAAGGCAACGAUGCAUAGCCGACCUGAGAGGAUGAUCGGCCACACUGGAACUGAGACACGGUCCAGACUCCUACGGGAGGCAGCAGUGGGGAAUAUUCGACAAUGGGCGCAAGCCUGAUGCAGCCAUGCCGCGUGAGUGAAGAAGGUCUUCGGGUUGUAAAGCCCUUUUAUUAGGAAAGAAAAGCAGCGGGUUAAUACCCCGCUGUUCUGACGGUACCCAAAGAGUAAGCACCGGCUAACUUCGUG
rnacentral:rRNA from 1 species